GCGCUCGUAGUUCAACGUAUAGAACGCACGCCUGCUAAGCCUGAGAUACGGGUUAGAUUCCCGUCGAGCGCGCCA
rnacentral:tRNA from 1 species